rnacentral:rRNA from 1 species
UGGGGAAUUUUGGACAAUGGGCGAAAGCCUGAUCCAGCAAUGCCGCGUGUGUGAAGAAGGCCUUCGGGUUGUAAAGCACUUUUGUCCGGAAAGAAAUCCUUGGCUCUAAUACAGUCGGGGGAUGACGGUACCGGAAGAAUAAGCACCGGCUAACUACGUGCCAGCAGCCGCGGUAAUACGUAGGGUGCAAGCGUUAAUCGGAAUUACUGGGCGUAAAGCGUGCGCAGGCGGUUUGCUAAGACCGAUGUGAAAUCCCCGGGCUCAACCUGGGAACUGCAUUGGUGACUGGCAGGCUAGAGUAUGGCAGAGGGGGGUUAGAAUUCCACGUGUAGCAGUGAAAUGCGUAGAGAUGUGGAGGAAUACCGAUGGCGAAGGCAGCCCCCUGGGCCAAUACUGACGCUCAUGCACGAAAGCGUGGGGAGCAAAGCAGGAUUAGAUACCCCUGGUAGUCCACGCCCUAAACGAUGUCAACUAGUUGUUGGGGAUUCAUUUCCUUAGUAACGUAGCUAACGCGUGAAGUUGACCGCCUGGGGAGUACGGUCG